GCCAUUAAUUUUCCAUGGCAGGAAAUGACUCAGUUUAAUGAUGUAGAAUGUCUAAAACUUGAGUAUUUCUCUCUUUCAUUAUCCAUUCUAAUAUCUUGUGGAUGGAAAUGGGUUGUCUUUAUUGGACAUGCCAUAGAAAAUAAACUCGUUACAUGGCCGGACAACAUCAGUUCAUAAUAACACAGUUUGUUUCAGAGAAAGUAAUGAAGAAGUCUGCUCUUUGGUUCUUUCUAAUUUUUUGGAAGUAUAUAUAUGUACCCAAACUUGAAUGGUUUCUUGGCAAUUAAGCAUUGCAAGUAUGGGUCAAGUAAAUUGUGUGUUCAAGGUCUGUGCGGUGAAGAGAAAUAUCCAGAGCCUCAGCAAUCUAAAGUUUCGGUAGCCUGUGUUCUCAGUCUACGUGACGAUGCUUUUAUGUUCACCAACACACAUGCAUGCAGGUUAUAGGGUUUGUCAGCAGGUCAUUGUAAACGAGGGAGUUAGUGUGUUUAAAGCGUGUGCAAUCUUGUGUUCUAUGAGGAGAUAGAGGGAGAGCGGUGGUUUCCCCCGCCUCCUCUCGAGGAUCACUCUACAUAAAAGUAAAAUGCUUGGUAUGCUUUUUUGCUGUUCUUAAUUAACAGUGCAAAUUAUUUUUGGUAUUUGCCUGCUCGAUAAAAUUCUACACAUUUCUUCUGUUGGAAAAGAGGAGUGGAAGUCAGCUUUCUCGUGAGUGUGAUUAGUUAAGAAGCAUAUCAUGAUUCUAACUUUGCAUGAUUGAAUUUUCAGCCAUUUAAAAUUGUGAUACAAAGCCUGGUGGAAGAACUCUCUGUGGUGCUCAUGCAGCAAUCCUGUGCUGCUCAAAGAUCAACCCUUUUUGACCAUUUCAUAGAUGAAAAGCCUGUGCACAACAAAACCACACAACGUCAAGUGCAGACAAUACCCCCUUGCAGCAAUGCCUAGAUAUGGAAUCGGUAGUUUUUCAAAAUCAAAGACACUGAAAAGAAUACACAAACUUGUGAUAAUUGGGGGUUCCACAAAGUUUUCCAUAUCUUUCACAUGUUUUUGGUAAUUAACUUUUGUUAUACUAUAUUUGUACUAGUCCUUUCAUAUCAUAAACCAUACUUUUGAUGUUAUUUUAAUUUUUUAUAUAUAAUAUGGAC
rnacentral:lncRNA from 1 species